rnacentral:rRNA from 1 species
UACGUAGGGGGCAAGCGUUGUCCGGAUUUAUUGGGCGUAAAGAGCGUGUAGGCGGCCAGGUAGGUCCGUUGUGAAAACUGGAGGCUUAACCUCCAGCUGUCGAUGGAAACCAUCUGGCUAGAGUCCGGAAGAGGAGAGUGGAAUUCCUGGUGUAGCGGUGAAAUGCGCAGAUAUCUGGAGGAACACCGGUGGCGAAGGCGGCGUCCUGGACCAACACUGACACUGAUGAGCGAAAGCCAGGGGAGCAAACGGG